GACGAACGCUGGCGGCGUGCUUAACACAUGCAAGUCGAACGGAAAGGCCUCUUUCGGGGGGUACUCGAGUGGCGAACGGGUGAGUAACACGUGAGUAACCUGCCCUUGACUUUGGGAUAACUUCAGGAAACUGGGGCUAAUACCGGAUAGGAGCUCCUGCUGCAUGGUGGGGGUUGGAAAGUUUCGGCGGUUGGGGAUGGACUCGCGGCUUAUCAGCUUGUUGGUGGGGUAGUGGCUUACCAAGGCUUUGACGGGUAGCCGGCCUGAGAGGGUGACCGGCCACAUUGGGACUGAGAUACGGCCCAGACUCCUACGGGAGGCAGCAGUGGGGAAUAUUGCACAAUGGGUGGAAGCCUGAUGCAGCAACGCCGUGUGCGGGAUGACGGCCUUCGGGUUGUAAACCGCUUUCGCUCAUGACGAAGCUUUGUGUGACGGUAGUAGGUAAAGAAGCACCGGCUAACUACGUG
rnacentral:rRNA from 1 species